UACGGAGGGUGCAAGCGUUGUUCGGAAUUAUUGGGCGUAAAGGGCAAGUAGGUGGUCUUAAAAGUCUACUGUGAAAUCCCUGGGCUUAACCCAGGAAGUGCGGUGGAUACUCUAAGACUAGAGUGCCGGAGGGGUACGUAGAAUUCCCGGUGUAGCGGUGAAAUGCGUAGAUAUCGGGAGGAAUACCAGAGGCGAAGGCGGCGUACUGGACGGCAACUGACACUCAAUUGCGAAAGCGUGGGGAGCAAACAGG
rnacentral:rRNA from 1 species